rnacentral:rRNA from 1 species
AUAAUCAAUAGUUUUUUAAUUGAAAACUUGAAUGAAAGAAUUGAUAAAAUAUUAGUUGUCUCAAAUUUAAAUAAUUGAAUUUAUAUUUAAAGUUAAAAUUCUUUAAUUAAUUUAUUAGACGAUAAGACCCUAAGAAUUUUAUAAUUUAUUUAUUAUUUAUUAAAUUAGUUUAAUUUAAAAUUUAUAAUUUAAUUAUUUUAUUGGGAGGGUAAUUAAAAAUUUAAACUUUAAUUAAAUUUAAACUUUGAUAAAUGAGUUUAAUGAUUAUUAUUAUAGUUAUUAGAAUAAAUUACCUUAGGGAUAACAGCGUAAUAAUUUUGGAAAGUUCAUAUUGAUAAAAUUGGUUGC